rnacentral:rRNA from 1 species
GAUGAACGCUGGCGGCGUGCCUAAUACAUGCAAGUCGAGCGAACAGAUGAGGAGCUUGCUCCUCUGACGUUAGCGGCGGACGGGUGAGUAACACGUGGAUAACCUACCUAUAAGACUGGGAUAACUUCGGGAAACCGGAGCUAAUACCGGAUAAUAUAUUGAACCGCAUGGUUCAAUAGUGAAAGACGGUUUUGCUGUCACUUAUAGAUGGAUCCGCGCCGCAUUAGCUAGUUGGUAAGGUAACGGCUUACCAAGGCAACGAUGCGUAGCCGACCUGAGAGGGUGAUCGGCCACACUGGAACUGAGACACGGUCCAGACUCCUACGGGAGGCAGCAGUAGGGAAUCUUCCGCAAUGGGCGAAAGCCUGACGGAGCAACGCCGCGUGAGUGAUGAAGGUCUUCGGAUCGUAAAACCCUGUUAUUAGGGAAGAACAAAUGUGUAAGUAACUAUGCACGUCUCGACGGUACCUAAUCAGAAAGCCACGGCUAACUACGUG